rnacentral:hammerhead_ribozyme from 1 species
CCACUGCUGAGGAGUCUCAUAAUAGGACGAAACGGCCGUCCAGUGC